rnacentral:rRNA from 1 species
UACGGGGGGGGCAAGCGUUGUUCGGAAUUACUGGGCGUAAAGGGCUCGUAGGUGGCCAACUAAGUCAGACGUGAAAUCCCCAGGCUCAACCUGGGAACUGCGUCUGAUACUGGAUGGCUUGAAUUCGGGAGAGGGAUGCAGAAUUCCAGGUGUAGCGGUGAAAUGCGUAGAUAUCUGGAGGAAUACCGGUGGCGAAGGCGGCAUCCUGGACCGGCAUUGACGCUGAGGAGCGAAAGCUAGGGGAGCAAACGGG